rnacentral:rRNA from 1 species
UGGGGAAUCUUGCACAAUGGGCGAAAGCCUGAUGCAGCGACGCCGCGUGCGGGAUGAAGGCCUUCGGGUUGUAAACCGCUUUCAGCAGGGACGAGGCCGCAAGGUGACGGUACCUGCAGAAGAAGCCCCGGCUAACUACGUGCCGGCAGCCGCGGUAAUACGUAGGGGGCAAGCGUUAUCCGGAUUCAUUGGGCGUAAAGCGCGCGUAGGCGGUCUGUUAGGUCAGGAGUUAAAUCUGGGGGCUCAACCCCUAUCCGCUCCUGAUACCGGCAGGCUUGAGUCUGGUAGGGGAAGAUGGAAUUCCAAGUGUAGCGGUGAAAUGCGCGGAUAUUUGGAAGAACACCGGUGGCGAAGGCGGUCUUCUGGGCCAUGACUGACGCUGAGGCGCGAAAGCUAGGGGAGCGAACAGG